GAUGAACGCUGGCGGCGUGCCUAAUACAUGCAAGUCGAGCGAACGGACGAGAAGCUUGCUUUUCUGAUGUUAGCGGCGGACGGGUGAGUAACACGUGGAUAACCUACCUAUAAGACUGGGAUAACUUCGGGAAACCGGAGCUAAUACCGGAUAAUAUUUUGAACCGCAUGGUUCAAAAGUGAAAGACGGUCUUGCUGUCACUUAUAGAUGGAUCCGCGCUGCAUUAGCUAGUUGGUAAGGUAACGGCUUACCAAGGCAACGAUGCAUAGCCGACCUGAGAGGGUGAUCGGCCACACCUGAACUGGGGCACGGUCCAGACCCCUACGGGAGGCAGCAGUAGGGAAUCUUCCGCAAUGGGCGAAAGCCUGACGGAGCAACGCCGCGUGAGUGAUGAAGGUCUUCGGAUCGUAAAACUCUGUUAUUAGGGAAGAACAUAUGUGUAAGUAACUGUGCACAUCUUGACGGUACCUAAUCAGAAAGCCACGGCUAACUACGUG
rnacentral:rRNA from 1 species